AUACUUUUGCAGGGCAAUGGUUCCGGAAACGGAUAAUAGGGAAAGUCGUGCAAUUCGGCUGCAGUUCCCGCUGCUGUAAGCUCUUUAAACGGUUUCAACAGAAUGCCACUGUCUAUCCCCAAACUGACGGGAAGGCGUUGAAAACAAACGGAGUAAGCCAGAAGACCUGCCAUUUGCCUUGUGGAUUU
rnacentral:ncRNA from 2 species